UACGGAGGAUCCGAGCGUUAUCCGGAUUUAUUGGGUUUAAAGGGUGCGCAGGCGGGAGAUUAAGUCGGCGGUGAGAUUUUGCAGCUCAACUGUAAAAGUGCCUUCGAAACUGGUUUCCUUGAGUGUGGAUGAAGUAGGCGGAAUUUGUGGUGUAGCGGUGAAAUGCAUAGAUAUCACGAGGAACUCCGAUUGCGCAGGCAGCUUACUAAACCAUAACUGACGCUCAGGCACGAAGGCGUGGGGAUCAAACAGGAUUAGAUACCCCGGUAGU
rnacentral:rRNA from 1 species